rnacentral:rRNA from 1 species
GCCCUAGUAACGGCGAGUGAAGCGGCAACAGCCCAAAUUUGAAAUCUGACCCCCUGGGGCCCGAGUUGUAAUUUGGAGAGGAUGCCUCGGUGGAGGCCCCGGCCGAAGUGCCUUUGAACGGGCCGUCAGAGAGGGUGAGAACCCCGUCCGCGGUCGCCGGCCCCCACCGUGUGAGGCUCCUUCGACGAGUCGAGUUGUUUGGGAAUGCAGCUCUAAAUGGGAGGUAAAUUCCUUCCAAGGCUAAAUAUCCGCCAGAGACCGAUAGCGCACAAGUAGAGUGAUCGAAAGGUGAAAAGCACUUUGAAAAGAGGGUGAAACAGCACGUGAAAUUGUUGAAAGGGAAGCGCUUGCAACCAGAGUCGUCCGCGGGGGCUCCACCGACCCUCGGGCCCGGUGUACUCCCCCGCGGCCGAGCCAGCAUCAGCUCGGCCGGUCGGAUAAAGGCCGUGGGAAUGUGACACCCUCGGGUGUGUUAUAGCCCGCGGCACAAUACGGCCUGGCCGGGCUGAGGUCAGCGCCUUUGGCACGGAUGCUGGCGUAAUGGUUGUCAGCGGCCCGUCUUGAAACACGGACCAAGGAGUCUAACAUCUAUGCGAGUGUUCGGGUGUCAAACCCGUGAGCGGAAUGAAAGUGAACGGAGGUGGGAGCCCUCGGGCGCACCAUCGACCGAUCCGGAUGUCUUCGGAUGGAUUUGAGUAUGAGCAUAGCUGUUGGGACCCGAAAGAUGGUGAACUAUGCGUGAAUAGGGUGAAGCCAGAGGAAACUCUGGUGGAGGCUCGCAGCGGUUCUGACGUGCAAAUCGAUCGUC